ACCAAUCCACUGUAAUCUCUCUCUUUCUUUCUACUCUCUCCGCUCACUACCAAAUUUCAGUUCCCUUCUAAUUUUCAUUCUUCUCUUUCUCUCUCUCUUUUUUCUUUAAUCAUGGUUUUGGUUUCUUCAUUUUUUUUUUCUGAUUCGCUUGCAUAUUCUUUAAAAAAUAUCCUAUCAACUUCACGUCUUUUGCAUGAUUUUCACAUCAUCCUGCGCGCAUUUUCUAAGCUUUUCGGGUCUAAUUCUCUUCAUAUUGCAGGCAAUUCCUCUCUGAUUUUUUCGAACAUAAAAUUUAUACAGUUCCAAAGACUGUCCAUCUUGCCCAGUCCCUACACUUUUUAUUGGUAUGGACUUCAAUCCGGUUUAUCAAAAUUUUACGGGUUUGCUCCAUUUUUUUGUAUUUCUUGGCGAAUUUUAUCGCUUUGAUGUUCUUGGGUUUUGCGUACUGUUCACAUUUUCUUUGUAUAGAAACCCAUUUGCAGGGAUGUGGCAUGACUGAUUUUAAGUUAGAAGUUGAUUUCCAAUGAUUGUGAUUUGCGAAGAAUCAGAAUCCACCUCUGUAACUGAAAACAAGUAUUCAGACAAAAAUUUUAUGCGGUAAACGAGAUUCUGAAUGGCAUUGGUAGUUGGUACGCAAGAAAACAGGUCAAUUGGCAAUUUUGUAAAACAUGCAGGACGUAGAGCUGUAGGCGACAGGUUCUUUAGAGGGAAUCAAGCAGCACAUAAUGCCACUAUCAGUGCUCUAUUUGAUGGGGAUGAAAAAGGAGAACAUGGAUCAGGAAGAAAAUCCGGACCACUUUUGUCCAGAACAGCUUACUGCAUUUCUUCUUGCAGCAUGAUUUUGUUGAACAAAGUUGUUUUAUCAACUUACAAUUUCAAUCCAGGAAUAUCUCUUAUGUUAUAUCAAGUAUGAUGGUUCUCAAACAGCCUUUUCCAUCUGGUUGGCUCUGAAAAGUAAAAAGUAUCCUAGUGUGAGUUUUAGAAUCGAUAUUUUAUCUUUUACAAUAUUGACCUUAGUAUUAAAACUGUUUAGUAUUAUUUUGUGUUAAAAGUUUAUCACAUCUGCCACUUGGUUGAUUUUCUUUCAUUAUUCAUCUGCUGUCUGGUUGUUGCCAUUUUGCGUUUCUAUGGAGCUGUUUCAGUGGAAAAGCUUAAUUGGAAACGAAUAAAGGUCUGGAUCCCUGUCAAUGCAAUCUUUGUUGGCAUGCUUGUAUCCGGCAUGUAUAGGUAAGAAUUAUAGAGAAGAGUUUAUUCUAAUUGUGAAUGAAUAUUGGUGAAAGGGAAUGCAACUUUGUGCACUUUUCUUUUCAGUUUGAAAUACAUAAAUAUUGCAAUGCUGACAAUUCUGAAGGAUAUGAUAAAUAUUUUGACAGCAAUUGGGAAGCUAUAUAUUUUCCGGACACGUCAGAAUCAGAAAGUGUGGGCUGCCAUGUUUUUGAUGCUAUAAAACAUCACUUCACUUGUGUCAUUUGUACUUACUAAGCUGGUGAUGAUUAAUAUUUGUGCAGAGCAGAAUAAUUAUCAAUUUCAGAACAAAAGACAGACAUGAAGUAAUGUUCAGAAAGAUGCAAAGUUAUAUACCACUGCUAGAAAUCACUUAAACUUCAAUUGCUUCUCAUGAUUGUAUCUUCAGCACAUAAUUUUGCCAUAUGAUAAAGAUAACAAGCCACGCUAGGCUAUAUCAGAAGUUGAGCACCUAGAUGCUACAAUUGGAAUUGAGUUUCAAUUCCAAAAUAGUUUUCCAAAUUCCUGUUUCCUUUUUUCAGUUUAUGAACUUCCAUUUUUUAGUUUAUUGAGCUGCGUGUUUUUCUGGUUUGCAGAUUAUCUCUGCUAUUAGUGGCGGUAUUACAGAUCUUUCAUUCAAUGCAAUGGUUUAUGCAUGCUUGGAGUAUGGGACUCUGUUCCUGGUGCAUUACUCAUUCUACUGCUAUAAAUUCCGACUAAUAUGCAACUUACCCUUUCACAGCUUACCCUGCAGCCAGUGUUGGACAAAGCAAAGCAAUCAACAAGAAGCGGAUCUCUUAAUGAAAUUUCAAUGGUGUUGCUUAAUAAAUUCUUGUUUCUACCUUUUGCCAUCUUCUUGAUUCUGCUGUUUGAUGAAUGGAAAUAUCUGAAACUAAUUCAAAAUAUAUUCUAGUAAUUGCGUUUGCUAAAAGGCAAUCAAAAUUCCAUUUUUAUA